rnacentral:rRNA from 1 species
UACGUAGGUGGCAAGCGUUGUCCGGAAUUACUGGGUGUAAAGCGCGUGUAGGCGGGAGGCCAAGUCUGCUGUGAAAUCGCCCGGCUCAACUGGGCGGGGUCGGUGGAAACUGGUCACCUGGAGGACGGUAGAGGCGAGUGGAAUUCCCGGUGUAGUGGUGAAAUGCGUAGAUAUCGGGAGGAACACCAGUGGCGAAGGCGACUACCUGGCCUGUUCUUGACGCUGAGGCGCGAAAGCUAGGGGAGCAAACGGG